rnacentral:rRNA from 1 species
CCUGCUAGCUGUGACGUUACUGACAGAAGAAGCACCGGCUAACUCCGUGCCAGCAGCCGCGGUAAUACGGAGGGUGCGAGCGUUAAUCGGAAUUACUGGGCGUAAAGCGUACGCAGGCGGUUUGUUAAGCGAGAUGUGAAAGCCCUGGGCUCAACCUGGGAACUGCAUUUCGAACUGGCAAACUAGAGUGUGAUAGAGGGUGGUAGAAUUUCAGGUGUAGCGGUGAAAUGCGUAGAGAUCUGAAGGAAUACCGAUGGCGAAGGCAGCCACCUGGGUCAACACUGACGCUCAUGUACGAAAGCGUGGGGAGCAAACGGGAUUAGAUACCCCGGUAGUCCACGCCGUAAACGAUGUCUACUAGAAGCUCGGGUCCUCGGACUUGUUUUUCAAAGCUAACGCAUUAAGUAGACCGCCUGGGGAGUACGGCCGCAAGGUUAAAACUCAAAUGAAUUGACGGGGGCCCGCACAAGCGGUGGAGCAUGUGGUUUAAUUCGAUGCAACGCGAAGAACCUUACCUACACUUGACAUACAGAGAACUUACCAGAGAUGGUUUGGUG